UGUAGAAGAAGACUUGUGUCCUUCCGGUUGGACCAAAUAUGGAUCACGCUGUUUAAUGUUUGUAAAGACUACAAGGAGCUGGCCAGAAGCAGAGGACAGGCGGUGGUUCUGGAGUGAUGGCUCCGACUUUGAUCACCAGAACUGGGCUAAAGGAAGGCCUGGUGCUGGUGCCAGAGAGACUUGUAUUCGUAUCAACUUUGGAGGCCAGAAGUGCUGGAACAAUGCUUUAUGUGGAAGGAGCUUGCCCUCUGUGUGCUCCCUGAGACUCCUGCCUCUCCGCCAGACUAUACAUUAGAAGCAGCAAUGCUAUUCCGUAGUGGCUGCGCCCUUAAUACUUCAUGGUAACGUCAAAAUACUUAGUUGCUGUUAAAUAAGUCUGUUACUACACAAAUGUUGAGGAAUUGUUUGCAGCCAAUAAAAUGUGGAC